CCUACGGGCGGCAGCAGUGGGGAAUAUUGCACAAUGGGCGCAAGCCUGAUGCAGCCAUGCCGCGUGUGUGAAGAAGGCCUUCGGGUUGGAAAGCACUUUCAGCGGGGAGGAAGGCGUUAAGGUUAAUAACCUUGGCGAUUGACGUUACCCGCAGAAGAAGCACCGGCUAACUCCGUGCCAGCAGCCGCGGUAAUACGGAGGGUGCAAGCGUUAAUCGGAAUUACUGGGCGUACAGCGCACGCAGGCGGUCUGUCAAGUCAGAUGUGAAAUCCCCGGGCUCAACCUGGGAACUGCAUUCGAAACUGGCAGGCUAGAGUCUUGUAGAGGGGGGUAGAAUUCCAGGUGUAGCGGUGAAAUGCGUAGAGAUCUGGAGGAAUACCGGUGGCGAAGGCGGCCCCCUGGACAAAGACUGACGCUCAGGUGCGAAAGCGUGGGGAGCAAACAGGAUUAGAUACCCCGGUAGUC
rnacentral:rRNA from 1 species